rnacentral:rRNA from 1 species
AGUGAACGCUGGCGGCAUGCUUUACACAUGCAAGUCGAACGGCAGCGCGGUAUGCGCUCGCUCGGAGAGGGGCCAACGGGUGAACAAUUCAUCGGAACGUGCCCAGCAGUGGUGGAUUGCGGGGCGAAAGCCGGAUUAAUACGGCAUUCGACCAUAGGGCCAAAGGGUGGGAGCUUCGGAUCUUCGGACAUUGCACGGGCCGAUGACCGAUUAGCUAGUUGGUGGGGUAAAGGCCUACCAAGGCGACGAUCCGUAGCUGGUCUGAGAGGAUGACCAGCCACACUGGGACUGAGACACGGCCCAGACUCCUACGGGAGGCAGCAGUGGGGAAUUUUGGACAAUGGGCGCAAGCCUGAUCCAGCAAUACCGCGUGUGUGAUGAAGGCCUUCGGGUUGUAAAGCCCUUUUGUCGGGAAAGAAAAGGACUGUGCCAAUACCACGGUGCGCUGACGGUACCCGAAGAAUAAGCACCGGCUAACUACGUG